rnacentral:snRNA from 1 species
GCUUCUUGUCCUUUUGGCUAACAUCAAGUGUAGUAU